rnacentral:misc_RNA from 1 species
CUAGAGGCUUCCCAGGCGAGGUGCCUGGAUUUCACCUCGCCCCCAGGCACCUCUUGACAGCACUGAAAAAAGUUAGGAGGAAAAGACAAGUGGGAAAAGUAGAAAGUUGUUAUAACAAACUUGCUGUGCUGACUGUUUGUUUUAUAAUUGUUAGAAUAUACCUUUAAGGACAUGAAUGAUAAUCAAAUUCAAAUUCCCUCUAUCAGCCUAUCAUUCUCUUUCUCUCUAUCCCUCUUUAUUUCUGUUCUCUUUCUUCUCUACUCUAUUUCCUUCUGCAAACUCUUUCAGUUUGUCAAUCAGUAACAGAAUUAGGACUGUGAAAAACUCUUACCAGACCUAACAAAAACUUGCAUCAAAGAUUUAUGUGGAGGAGGUGUGUGUUUUUGUGCUGAAUGUGUAUCAAUGACACAAGUUCUUAAAUCGCAGGAGAAAAUUGCCAUGCUUCGAG